rnacentral:rRNA from 1 species
AUGGGGUCCGAGACAACUGAAAGAAAUGACACCUUGCUGGGCAAUGGAGUCAUCGGCAUUCUCGCCGAGACUGUCAACAUGUGGGAGAGGAGGGCGCCGUUAACUCCUUCCCAUUGUGCUCGCCUCGUGCUCGGAGGAGGCAAGCGCGAAUCCGGCGUGAACCGGAUCAUCGUGCAGCCAAGCACCAAGAGGAUCCACCAUGACGCUCAGUACGAGGAUGCUGGGUGCGAGAUCUCAGAGGACCUGUCAGAGUGUGGCCUCAUCGUAGGCAUCAAGCAACCAAAGCUGGAGAUGAUUCUUCCUGAUAGAGCAUAUGCGUUCUUCUCGCACACCCACAAGGCCCAGAAAGAAAAUAUGCCGCUGUUAGAUAAGAUCAUGGAAGAAAGAGUGUCCUUGUUUGAUUAUGAGCUAAUUGUCGAUGACGAUGGGAAAAGAAUGCUGGCAUUUGGGAAAUUUGCUGGCAGAGCUGGACUGAUAGACUUCUUACACGGUCUUGGGCAGAGAUAUUUGAGCCUUGGAUACUCGACUCCGUUUCUGUCUCUGGGGCAAUCCCACAUGUAUCCUUCGCUCGCUGCAGCCAAGGCUGCAGUCAUCGCCAUUGGUGAAGAGAUAGCAACAUAUGGACUUCCAUCUGGAAUUUGUCCAAUUGUAUUUGCAUUCACCGGAUCCGGAAAUGUUUCGCAGGGCGCACAAGAGAUAUUCAAGCUAUUGCCACAUACCUUCGUCGAUGCUGAGAAACUUCCCGAGCUCUCUGCGGGAAAGAGUCUGCCUCCACAUCAUCAGUCAACCAGGAGAGCAUUCCAACUAUAUGGAUGUGUUGUCACAUCUAAAGACAUGGUCGCACCCAAGGAUCCCAGCAGAUGUUUCGACAAAGCUGACUAUUAUGCUCAUCCGGAACACUACCGCCCUGUUUUUCAUGAAAGGAUCGCUCCAUAUGCAUCUGCCAUUGUUAACUGUAUGUACUGGGAGAGGAGGUUUCCACGACUAUUGAGCAUUGAUCAGUUACAACAGCUGAUGAAGAAUGGGUGCCCUUUGGUUGGCAUUUCCGAUAUAACUUGUGACAUUGGAGGUUCCAUAGAAUUUGUGAACAAAAGUACAUCAAUAGAGAGGCCUUUCUUCCGGUAUGAUACUUCGACUAAUUUAUACCAUGAUGACAUGGAAGGCGAUGGCGUGAUCUGCUUAGCUGUUGACAUUCUGCCUACAGAGUUUUCCAGAGAGGCCUCCCAGCAUUUUGGAGACAUAUUAUCUAGAUUUGUUACCAGCUUGGCCUCAGCUAAGGGACUGCUGGAACUUCCUUCCCACUUGAGAAGAGCUUGCAUCGCAUAUACUGGCAAACUCACUCCUCUGUAUGAGUAUAUUCCUCGGAUGAGAAAGACUAUGAUAGAAUUGCCACCAACUCCAGCCAAUUCAUUGCCUGAUAAGAAGUACACCACCCUGGUAUCUCUCUGUGGCCACCUCUUUGAUAAGUUCCUUAUAAAUGAAGCUUUGGACAUCAUUGAGACAGCUGGGGGUUCUUUUCACUUGGUUAAAUGUGAUGUUGGACAAAGCAUCGACGAUAUGUCCUACUCGGAGCUUGAAGUAGGAGCAGAUGAUACGACUACAUUAGACAAGAUCAUCGAUUCGUUGACUUCUAUAGCUAAUGCGCACCGUGGAGAUCCUAAUGCCGCUGAGAUAUCUCUAAAGAUAGGAAGAGUCAGCGAAUGCGGAAUUGAUGACAGCAUGGAUAAAGUAGGACCGAAGGUUUUAAUCCUUGGAGCUGGGAGAGUUUGUCGGCCAGCUGCUGAGUUUCUAACAUCUUACCAAAACAUCGACCAAGUACAUGUUGUUGUGGCAUCUCUGUAUCAAAAAGAUGCAGAAGAGACAGUUGACGGAAUAAAGAAUGCAACAGCAGCUCAGCUCGAUGUUUCAGAUACUGAAAGUCUUUCGAAUCUUGUUUCACAGGUUGAUGUUGUAGUCAGCUUGCUGCCUGCUAGUUUUCAUGCUGCCAUUGCAAGAGUAUGCAUAGAGCUCAAGAAGCACUUGGUCACAGCAAGCUAUGUUGAUGAUUCCAUGUCAAAGUUGGAGCAAGCUGCACAAGGAGCAGGUGUAACUAUACUCUGCGAAAUGGGCCUUGAUCCAGGCAUAGAUCACAUGUUGUCAAUGAAAAUGAUUGAUGAAGCACAUGCUCUGAAUGGAAAAAUAAAGGCCUUUACAUCUUUCUGUGGUGGACUUCCAUCUCCAGCUGCCGCAAACAAUCCACUAGCCUACAAGUUCAGUUGGAGUCCAGCAGGUGCCAUCCGAGCUGGAAGAAAUCCUGCUGUCUACAAAUUUCUUGGAGAGAUAAUCGAUGUGGAUGGUAGUAAAUUAUACGAGUCGGCAAAGAGGCUCAGACUACCAGAGCUUCCCGCUUUUGCCCUGGAACACUUGCCAAAUCGAAAUUCCUUGAUGUAUGGAGACCUGUAUGGGAUCUCCAAAGAAGCAUCUACUGUAUAUAGGUCCACUCUUCGUUAUGAAGGAUUUAGUGAGAUCAUGGCUAUCCUGGCGAAAAUCGGGUUUUUUGAUGCUGAAAAUCAUCCACUGCUACAAGAAACUGAUCGCCCGACAUAUAGGAUUUUUCUCAAUGACCUCCUUGAUGUCAACAAUGUAUCCACAUCUAACACAAAGGUAAAUGGUGAAGAAACUGGAGGACAUGAUGAUGAACUGAUUUCAAGACUCAUGAUGCUUGGGCAUUGCAAAGAAAAGGAACUAGCUGUCAAGAUACUCAAAACCAUCAAGUUCUUGGGGCUGCAUGAGGAGACACAGAUUCCUAAGGAUUGUUCAAGUGCAUUCACUGUUAUUUGCCAACGAAUGGAACAGAGAAUGGCCUAUGGCCACAAUGAGCAGGAUAUGGUACUGCUCCACCAUGAAGUCGAGGUGGAGUACCCCGACGGGCGACCCACCGAGAAGCACCAAGCGACGCUGCUGGAGUUCGGAAAGACCGAGAACGGCAGGCCCACCACCGCCAUGGCCCUCACCGUUGGGGUACCGGCAGCGAUAGGAGCCCUGCUCUUGCUCCAGAACAAGGUCCAGAGGAAAGGGGUGAUCCGGCCUCUGGAACCGGAGAUCUACAUCCCUGCGCUGGAGAUCUUGGAAGCGUCGGGCAUCAAGCUGAUCGAGAGAGUGGAGACCUGA